CCACAGUCACGAUUGGUGAAGGACGCUCGAGACUGGGCCCGAAGGUGACCGCCCAAAUGGUGGAAGCACGUAGAAGUAGCUCUGCACAGGUGGAGAUGAUCACCGCCUCCCUUCGGAACUUCUAGGAGCCUUUUUUUACUGAUUGAGGAGAUCAGUAAACCAGUUUGCUUGUGCUUAUGACAAUGAAGUUGUCAUGUAAGACACAUGCGCAUCCUGCCUGCAGCUGUAGCAACGUACACUCUGAUGGCCUCCAGAAGACAUCUCUGGUGUCUUCGGUGCUCUCCUCGGGUUCCUUUGGUCAGGUUGGCUCUGUGCAGAAGCCAGCACUCUCUCAGCACGUUUGCAGCAGCGUGACGGAUCUGCUCAACAAGUGUGGAGGGUAAGCAUCCAGGACGCCGUGAGCCAGAAGAAGAGGAUGAAGACCAGUAAGGACGGCCCGGUGCACCAGAUACAAGCGUAGGAACAUCAGCACCGACAGCAGCAGCUCCAAAUCCGCCAGCGCCGUAUUGUGAUGGUUGGAAUCGCACAGCGGAGGUGAGGAAGAGGAGUUGCCGUGGAGGCCCACCUCCCAGUAUGUGCCGACGGGAUGGAUGGCGCAGGCCAAUAGCUCGAGCGUGAUCACGAAUACCCUGUGGCUGGUCAUGGCGAUACGCCAGUCCACCUGGUUUUGAUCUAUGAUGAAGAGCUGAAAGACAUUGGGAAUCUUAUUGGAUGAAAGUCCUGUUUUUAUGACCAAAAAAAAAACAUAUGGAGCAGCGUGGCGCAGAGGGUAAGUUUACGGUGUUCGGUUAAAGCGCAGGUUGAAGUUGUCUACCUGGGUAAGACACUUAAACCACAUUGCCUAUGAAUGAAUAUGUUUGGAAAUUUGCAGCGGUUGGAGAGGCCGUAGGCGCAGAAUGGCAGCCAUUCUCCCUUCGGACUGCGCAAGGGCAGCUGUGUCUACACUAGUAGCUUAACACCACUAGGGUGUAACUGUGGAAUGAAUGAAUAAUGCGUGCUAUUGUAAAGCGUCUUUGAGUCGCUUGAAAAGCGCUACAUAAGAUGAAUGCAUUAUUAUUAUGUAGAACGUCACAUGACCAAGCCCAGAAAAUAGUUUCCGGACUUUCUGUGUAUGCUGCGAUGGCGAGCAUAACUAAGAGUGGGUGAAUGACAGUUUGAAGCCGAACUUGCUAAAAUUUUGUUUUCUUGAGGUUUGUCAUUGCUGACAAUAAACGGAAAAAAAAUCUGCAGGCGGUGAACACUGUGUGUUAACUCCUCCUUAUCUCUUCAAAGCAUACA